rnacentral:misc_RNA from 1 species
AGUCUUAACGAAACCUCAAAAGCUGG